GACGAACGCUGGCGGCGUGCCUAAUACAUGCAAGUCGAGCGAAUUUGGAGGAAGCUUGCUUCCUCCCUGUUAGCGGCGGACGGGUGAGUAACACGUGGGCAACCUGCCUGUAAGACUGGGAUAACACCGGGAAACCGGUGCUAAUACCCGAUAAUCCUUUUCCUCUCAUGAGGGAAAGUUGAAAGUCGGUUUACGCUGACACUUACAGAUGGGCCCGCGGCGCAUUAGCUAGUUGGUGAGGUAACGGCUCACCAAGGCGACGAUGCGUAGCCGACCUGAGAGGGUGAUCGGCCACACUGGGACUGAGACACGGCCCAGACUCCUACGGGAGGCCAG
rnacentral:rRNA from 1 species